AGCAGCCGCGGUAAUUCCAGCUCCAAUAGCGUAUAUUAAAGUUGUUGCAGUUAAAAAGCUCGUAGUUGAAUUUCGGGAUCAAUAUGUCGGUCGUGCCUCCGGUACGUACUGGCAUCAUUGAUUUCUCCCCUCUGACGAACCAUGAUGUCAUUAAUUUGGUGUCAUGGGGAGUCAGGACUGUUACUUUGAAAAAAUUGAGUGUUUAAAGCAGGCUCACGCUUGAAUACAUUAGCAUGGAAUAAUGAAAUAGGACGUUUGAUUCUAUUUUGUUGGUUUCUAGGAUCGACGUAAUGAUUAAUAGGGAUAGUUGGGGGCAUUAGUAUUCAAUUGUCAGAGGUGAAAUUCUUGGAUUUAUUGAAGACUAACUACUGCGAAAGCAUUUGCCAAGGAUGUUUUCAUUAAUCAAGAACGAAAGUUAGGGGAUCGAAGACGAUCAGAUACCGUCGUAGUCUUAACCAUAAACUAUGCCGACUAGGGAUCGGAUGAUGUUAAUUUUUAAUGACUCU
rnacentral:rRNA from 1 species